UACGGAGGGUGCAAGCGUUAUCCGGAUUCACUGGGUUUAAAGGGUGCGUAGGCGGGUAUAUAAGUCAGUGGUGAAAGCUCCGAGCUUAACUUGGAAACUGCCAUUGAUACUGUAUAUCUUGAAUAUCGUAGAGGUUAGCGGAAUGUUGCAUGUAGCGGUGAAAUGCUUAGAUAUGUUACAGAACACCAAUUGCGAAGGCAGCUAACUAUGCGAAAAUUGACGCUGAGGCACGAAAGCGUGGGGAGCAAACAGG
rnacentral:rRNA from 1 species